rnacentral:rRNA from 1 species
GACGAACGCUGGCGGCGUGCCUAAUACAUGCAAGUCGAGCGGAAGUUGGAGAGCUUGCUCUUCAACUUUAGCGGCGGACGGGUGAGUAACACGUGGGCAACCUGCCCUGCAGAUCGGGAUAACUCCGGGAAACCGGUGCUAAUACCGAAUAGUUUUCGCCACCUCCUGGUGGCGUACGGAAAGACGGUUUCGGCUGUCACUGCAGGAUGGGCCCGCGGCGCAUUAGCUAGUUGGUGGGGUAACGGCCCACCAGGGCGACGAUGCGUAGCCGACCGAGGAGGGGGAUCGGCCACACUGGGACUAAGACACGGCCCAGACUCCGACGGGAGGCAGCAGUAAGGAAUCUUCCGCAAUGGACGAAAGUCUGAUGGAGCAACGCCGCGUGAGUGACGAAGGUUUUCGGAUCGUAAAACUCUGUUGUGAGGGAAGAACAAGUACCAACUAACUACUGGUACCUUGACGGUACCUCACCAGAAAGCCACGGCUAACUACGUGCCAGCCGCCGCAGUAA